UACGAAGGGGGCUAGCGUUGUUCGGAAUUACUGGGCGUAAAGCGCACGUAGGCGGACCAGUUAGUUGGGGGUGAAAUCCCGGGGCUCAACCCCGGAACUGCCUCCAAAACUGCUGGUCUGGAGGUCGAGAGAGGUGAGUGGAAUUCCGAGUGUAGAGGUGAAAUUCGUAGAUAUUCGGAGGAACACCAGUGGCGAAGGCGGCUGCACUGGCUCGAUACUGACGCUGAGGUGCGAAAGCGUGGGGAGCAAACAGG
rnacentral:rRNA from 1 species